CACUAAAUGUUCCUUCAACAGGCCAGCUGCCACAGCUCUUGCAGGUGAUGGGCCAAAGCAGCUGCCAACACUGUGAGACCAAACAAGGACCAUCAGGCGAUCCAGGUCCCCCAGGCCCAACAGGCCCAUCUGGACCCCCAGGAUAUCCCGGCAUGGCAGGGUCUCCAGGCUACCCGGGACCUCCUGGGAGGCAGGGACCUGAAGGGGUAAAAGGUGAUAUUGGCCCAGUGGGUAUGAAAGGUACUAAGGGACAGGGUGAAAUGGGUUUGCCAGGUCCACCUGGUCCAGCAGGUAUAAAAACAAAUAUAUUCAUGCAUGAUAAUAAUCCCCUUAGUUGUAUUUUUUAGUCUUUUGCAAGCACGUCCAGAAGUAAUUUUCUCUUCCACAGGUUUGCAGGGGCCACGUGGGGAUGACGGUGAGGGAUAUCCUGGGCCUUCUGGUCCACUAGGAAAACCUGGCACUCCGGGUACCCCAGGCAAACGUGGGCCCCCGGGACCCAUGGGGGUCUGUGACCCAUCCUCAUGUUAUCAAGCCUAUGGCUUUCGGGACGAUCCUUUCAGGAAAGGACCUAACUUUUAGCAACGGGACAGUGGGAUCGUACUGAUUCUGUACAGUCUUUUCUCUCUCAAAUGGACCUAUCUGGUGCUCAGCCUUGACCUCAAGAACUCAUAACCUCUAAAGAACGAUGAUCUUGACUUUAAAUAUGUGAUGUGUUUUCCUGUUUGAGAAUCUUGUGUUGGAUGUGUUAAAUCAUGAAUCCAUGGUUUUGAUUGAUUUUGAUGCAUGUCCUGGCUGCUCUUUUCCAAAAGGGCUGUUGGGCUCCAGUAGAACUCAUGCAUUAUAUUCCAAGUUUUCUGAAGCCUUUGUGCAAGAAACGGACUAAAGGUUCAAUCAUUGCUUGGUGAAAAUGCUCUUAAACAUCAUGCAUGUUCACGUACUGUACAUACAUCUUUGAUUCUCUCGUGUCCUGUGACCAAUUUAAUUUUCAUUUUCAACUUUCGUUUUUGGGUGAAUUGUUCCUUUGAAGAAAAACUGCUAUACUGUAUCCACGGCACUGCCCCAGGCAAGCUACCUCUGUACAGGAUGUGAAGCAAUUCGACGGGCU
rnacentral:lncRNA from 1 species